UUAAUUGCAUUUGAUAUUUUAUAUUAAAAAGCCAGUGUCUAAGAUGGAGUUGAUAGUUAUAGGGAUUAUCGAUUCGGUGGAACGGCGGUUGUGAAGAAGGUGAAUAUCCAUACAGGGUAAGAGGAGAAAAAGAGUUUUAUAUAUGUUUAAGCGUCAAAAAAGGAGGUAGAAAAGAAACAUCGCAAAUGACUUCAUUAGUAUGUAGCACGAAGGGCGCGAAAAUAGGCGAAGAAUUGGG